UAGGAACUCUGGAGGCUCUUGAGAGAGGCCCUUUUGAAACAAUCUCUGGCUGGAAGACUCUUUGAGGAAGGACGCUGGCCUGGUGUCACUAAAAUCCUUGUUUAGUCAGACCUUGUGGUGUUGGGGAUCAACGAAGCCUCCUUGAAUAUGUGUCAUGAAUUCUGGGACCCAAUCUCCUAACCCAUGCUUAGACUGGAAGGCUGGAUCACUAGAGGAUGGCUGGAUAUUUCUCCCCACAGGAUUCUAAAGGAGUGCUCCCAGGAGGGAUGGUCAUGGAACCAAUCUGAUCAGAGGAUCUUUCCAUCUUAGAAAAAUGAAGCUAAUGGAUUGAACUCCCUUCCCAGCUUCCUGUGAAAAAGAAAACCAGAAUCGACAUUUGGCAAGUAAUUUGAUGUCUUGGGAAUAGUUUGGGGGCAUUU
rnacentral:lncRNA from 1 species